rnacentral:rRNA from 1 species
UACGUAGGGGGCAAGCGUUAUCCGGAUUUACUGGGUGUAAAGGGAGCGUAGACGGAAGGCCAAGUCUGAUGUGAAAGCCCGGGGCUCAACCGCGGGACUGCAUUGGAAACUGGUCAACUAGAGUACCGGAGGGGUGAGCGGAAUUCCUGAUGUAGCGGUGAAAUGCGCAGAUAUCAGGAAGAACACCGGCGGCGAAGGCGGCUCACUGGACGGCAACUGACGUUGAGGCUCAAAAGCGUGGGUAGCAAAC